CUAUUCCAAAUACAUUUUCAAACUAUUCAAAUGACGAAAGUUAUUGUUGUUUUUUAAGCGUUUAUUAGGGAGUGUGAAACUCCAAUAUGGCCGUCAUCUAUUCAAAUGGGAGUAACCGCUGGAAUAUUCUUGGCUUCAAUUUUACUAAAAGAGAUGCUCUAUCUAGUUUAUAUAAGAUAUAUAAGAUUUGGACUGUGUUUCUAAACCAAUAUAGCCGCCAUCUUUUAGUUUUAAAUCACAAAUGUUGAUUGCAACCAAAUAUGUCUCGUUAUCUGCGGCAGUAAUUUUUAAUAUUUACUGUAACACCGACAUGCUAUGUACACAUUUAUAGAAUAAUUUCUCCGCCACUAAUAAUCACAACCCACACUACACCUGUAGUUCUAGAUGUUCUCCAUCUUGCCAAGCGGGGAAAACACAAUCAUUAUGAUAAAACCAUUGCCUUGUCUUAAUGCAAUACUUGUCCCUAGGCUCAUGGUAUUGUUGCUCAAUUGACGAUCCCCCGCCUUAUCACGUUUUCGUGGCGCUUUGCAUUGUGGUUAUAGUAGUAUCACUGAUAAAGAUAGCGGCCUCGAAUGAAAAUAUUGAGUGUUUUCGCGAAUAUUUUGCUGUUGGCUAUCGCGCACCUGACCCUAGCUUUUUUAAAAGUUCUUGCACGGAUCAGGACAAAAAAUAAGCCAUCUUGAAUAUCAGUGAUACCACUAUAACCACAAUGCAAAGCGCUACAAAAACGUAAUAAGGGAAAUCUAGUAUUGUGUUCGCCCCAUUUCGCAAGACAAUCGCAAGAAUCGGCGUCGCAAGAACAGUGUCGUACAAAACAACUUGCACGUUGUUGUAGUGUUUUUGAAAUGCCGGCGAACAAAAUCAAUGUAAACUAUGUCAUUGUCAAUUAAAAACUAAACUUACAUACAUUAUGAUUACACAAACCAUUCAUCGACCAAUCAUCUUGCUGCUUUCGCAUCACGUGGUCGCAGUCGUCUCAUAAUGACGUCUUGUGCUCUAGACGUGGUGGGCGUUGGCGCUUUGCCAGUCU